UACGGAGGGUGCAAACGUUGCUCGGAAUCAUUGGGCGUAAAGCGCACGUAGGCGGUCGGCUAUGUCGGAUGUGAAAGCCUCGGGCUUAACCCGAGAAGGGCAUCCGAAACUGGCCGGCUUGAGUACGGAAGAGGGUCUCGGAAUUCCCGGUGUAGAGGUGAAAUUCGUAGAGAUCAGGAGGAACACCCAUGGCGAAGGCAGCUCUCUGGUCGACAUCUGACGCUGAGACGCGAAAAGCGUUGGGGAGGCGAACGGGGA
rnacentral:rRNA from 1 species